rnacentral:rRNA from 1 species
GAUGAACGCUAGCUACAGGCUUAACACAUGCAAGUCGAGGGGAAACGGUAUUGAUUUUUAGAUCUUUUUGGACGUCGACCGGCGCACGGGUGAGUAACGUGUAUCAAAUCUCUACAUUACUGUGGGAUAACUUGCAGAACAGCAGAAAAAUACCGUAUAGCAUUCGAUGAAGGUAUUAACAUUGAAGAAAAGGCAUAUCGGUAAUGGAUGGGCAUGCGUCUGAUUAGCUUGUUGGCGGGGUAACGGCCUACCAAGGCUACGAUCAGUAGGGGUUCUGAGAGUAAGGUCCCCCACAGUGGAGCUGAGACGCGAUCCAGACUCCUACAUGAGGCAGCAGUGAGGAAUAGUGGUCAAUGGACGGAAGUCUGAACCAGCCAAGUAGCGUGCACGAAGACAGCCCUAGUAGUGGUAGACUGCUUUUGUAUUUUGAUAAAUUUAGGGUCGUGUCCCUAUUUGCAGGUACCAUACGAAUAAGGUCCGGCUAAUUCCGUG